GUGCUCCAGACCCGUAAAUAUGCAGUUCACAGAGCCCACCACCAGAGGGCAAUAAAGAAAGACAGAAACACACAGAGACAAUUCCAUGUGACAACAGUGGAAGAGACCAGAGUGAUGCAGCUGCAAAUCAAAAAACUGCCAACACCAGUGAUUGAUGGCCACCACCAGAAUCUGGUUAAGACAAAGAAGGAUCCUCCCCUUGAGGCGUCAGAAAGAACAUGGCCCUCUCAACACUUUGAGUUUGAACUUCUGGCCUCUAGAGCUGUGAUAAAAUAAAUUUCUGUUCUUUUAAGCUAACAA